CUAUAUAAUAAUAUAUACUUAGAUAUAAAAUAAUCUUUGCAUUCCUUUUAAUGCAGGGAAUAAAAAUAUGUGCAAUGUUAUGGUGGAGGGUAGGUUGUCUUUAUUUUCACAAAUUAUAAGAACACAUAGCAAAGAGUGAAAUAGAAAUGUUGAAAGGUACGAGAGUCUUCUCUUCCAUUAAUCUUCAUCAUCGCUAAUUAUUCUAUGAGUUGACCUGUGUUGAUUACGUUGGUUUUGUGCUGGUUCUUCCUCGUCGUCACUAAUUAUCGUUUUAAUGCUUUUCUGCCUGGUAGCUUGAGACGUUAGUGGCUCCUCUUCCUCGUCGCUAUCCAGCAGACGACGUUUUUUCACGCUAUCAUUUUUCUCGUCAUCGGAUCGAGCCACUUCAGCAUUAUCAGCAUUGGUCUUUAUUUCCAAUUCAGAGUCAGACGAAUCAUCGAAUGCAAUAAUACGUCCAUCAAACUUUCUCUUUCCAGAUUUUGAUUUUUC
rnacentral:misc_RNA from 1 species